rnacentral:rRNA from 1 species
GGGGAACUGAAACAUCUAAGUACCCCGAGGAAAAGAAAUCAACCGAGAUUCCCCCAGUAGCGGCGAGCGAACGGGGAGGAGCCCAGAGCCUGAAUCAGCAUGUGUGUUAGUGGAAGCGUCUGGAAAGGCGCGCGAUACAGGGUGACAGCCCCGUACACAAAAGCGCAUGUGCUGUGAGCUCGAUGAGUAGGGCGGGACACGUGGUAUCCUGUCUGAAUAUGGGGGGACCAUCCUCCAAGGCUAAAUACUCCUGACUGACCGAUAGUGAACCAGUACCGUGAGGGAAAGGCGAAAAGAACCCCGGCGAGGGGAGUGAAAAAGAACCUGAAACCGUGUACGUACAAGCAGUGGGAGCACAGGUUUACCUGUGUGACUGCGUACCUUUUGUAUAAUGGGUCAGCGACUUAUAUUCUGUAGCAAGGUUAACCGUAUAGGGGAGCCGUAGGGAAACCGAGUCUUAAC